rnacentral:rRNA from 1 species
GUACACGCUGUGACUAGCAUAUCAAUAAGCGGAGGAAAAGAAACUAACAAGGAUUCCCCUAGUAACGGCGAGUGAAGCGGGAAGAGCUCAAAUUUGAAAUCUUAAAGGGUUUCCCUUUACGAAUUGUAGUUUAAAGAAGUGUUUUCUGUUGAGGUUUUGGUAAAAGUUCUUUGGAAUAGGACAUCAUAGAGGGUGAGAAUCCCGUAUUUGACCUUUACUUUCAACUUUGUGAUACACUUUCAAAGAGUCGGAUUGUUUGGGAAUGCAGUCCAAAAUGGGUGGUAAAUUUCAUCUAAAGCUAAAUAUUGGCGAGAGACCGAUAGCGAACAAGUACCGUGAGGGAAAGAUGAAAAGAACUUUGAAAAGAGAGUUAAACAGUACGUGAAAUUGUCAAAAGGGAAGCGUUUGACACCAGUGUUGUUUUUCUGAAAAUCAAUUAAAGAACUGUUUAUGCUAAGUUGUUUAGACUUUAUCAGCUAACUGUUUAGUUUUGAGCUUUUCUUUAAUGCACUUUUCAGUUAACAAGUCAACAUCAAUUUCUUUUGCUGUAAAAAAGCUUGAGGAAGGUGGCUUGAGAUUCGUCUUAAGUGUUUAUAGCCUCUUGCCUAUGCAGUCGGAGAGAUUGAGGUCUGCAGCGUAGAUCCUUCGGGGCUAAAUGCAUUUGUGCUAAGUUAUAACAUUUUAUAGACAACUUGUUGACUAUGAUUUGUCUUGUAGCUUACUCGCUUAUGUUAUUUUACCUACGCUUAGGAUGUUGACAGCAGUAUAGACUGU